AACGUAGGAGGCGAGCGUUAUCCGGAUUUACUGGGCGUAAAGCGCACGCAGGCGGCCGGGUGAGUCGGAUGUGAAAGCUCCUGGCUUAACUGGGAGAGGCCAUUCGAUACUGCCCGGCUGGAGGUUGGGAGAGGGGUGUGGAAUUCCCGGUGUAGUGGUGGAAUGCGUAGAUAUCGGGAGGAACACCUGUGGCGAAAGCGGCACCCUGGCCCACACCUGACGCUGAGGUGCGAAAGCGUGGGGAG
rnacentral:rRNA from 1 species